UUAAUGUAAAAAAGCAGAAACAAAAAAUCAUUUUUACCCCCAUAAAAAAAAGCAGAGAGUUUUCAAAAAAUCUCUCUUUCACAGCCCUCACGUCCGGCCGAUAGGGCCGUCGCAUGCGCCGCCGAGACCCCACCUUAAGCGGUGGUCGGAGCCGAAAAAAGGGUUUUUAGCCCCGUUUUGAGUGUCCUCGAGAGCCAAGCCCUCUCAAACCCAAAAAGCCGAAAGAAAAGGACCCUCGACCCCCCUUUCGAUCCGGUCCCGAUGACGGAGAACCGCCCUCCGAUGGCGUGGUCACAGGGCGCCUCAGGGAUUUCGUGGCCAACGGUGGUGGCAGAGGCAUGCACGAGGAGCGGCAGACCUAGGUGAGGCGCACCUAGGGUUUCUCUUGGCUGAAAUUUGUUUAGUUUGGUGGGCUUGUUGGGCUAGGGUUUAAUUGUAUUUGGGUUGGUUUUGAUUUUAGGUUUGAAUGUAAUUGGACUGUUAACAUUUUGGGUUUUAUUUGUUUAUUUUUGGGCUUUUAGCCUGGGCAAAAAUUGGGCUACUACAUCUAAAAUUACACAAAAUCAAAGUUUAUAUAUAAUAUUACACAUUACACCGAA